rnacentral:rRNA from 1 species
UACGGAGGGGGCUAGCGUUGUUCGGAAUUACUGGGCGUAAAGCGCACGUAGGCGGCUUUGUAAGUUAGAGGUGAAAGCCCGGGGCUCAACUCCGGAAUUGCCUUUAAGACUGCAUCGCUAGAAUUGUGGAGAGGUAAGUGGAAUUCCGAGUGUAGAGGUGAAAUUCGUAGAUAUUCGGAAGAACACCAGUGGCGAAGGCGACUUACUGGACACAUAUUGACGCUGAGGUGGCGAAAGCGUUGGGGAGCAAACGGG